rnacentral:rRNA from 1 species
GACGAACGCUGGCGGCGUGCUUAACACAUGCAAGUCGAACGGAAAGGCCCUGCUUGCAGGGUACUCGAGUGGCGAACGGGUGAGUAACACGUGGGUGAUCUGCCCUGCACUUCGGGAUAAGCCUGGGAAACUGGGUCUAAUACCGGAUAGGAGCCAUUUUUAGUGUGAUGGUUGGAAAGUUUUUUCGGUGUAGGAUGAGCUCGCGGCCUAUCAGCUUGUUGGUGGGGUAAUGGCCUACCAAGGCGGCGACGGGUAGCCGGCCUGAGAGGGUGGUCGGCCACAUUGGGACUGAGAUACGGCCCAGACUCCUACGGGAGGCAGCAGUGGGGAAUAUUGCACAAUGGGCGCAAGCCUGAUGCAGCGACGCCGCGUGGGGGAGGACGGCCUUCGGGUUGUAAACUCCUUUCGCUAGGGACGAAGCUUUUUGUGACGGUACCUAGAUAAGAAGCACCGGCUAACUACGUG